rnacentral:rRNA from 1 species
UACGGAGGGAGCUAGCGUUGUUCGGAAUUACUGGGCGUAAAGCGCACGUAGGCGGCUUUGUAAGUUAGAGGUGAAAGCCUGGGGCUCAACCCCAGAAUUGCCUUUAAGACUGCAUCGCUUGAAUCCAGGAGAGGUGAGUGGAAUUCCUGGUGUAGCGGUGGAAUGCGCAGAUAUCAGGAGGAACACCAGUGGCGAAGGCAGCUCGCUGGGACGGUACUGACGCUGAGGCGCGAAAGCGUGGGGAGCGAACAGG